GAUGAACGCUGGCGGCGUGCUUAACACAUGCAAGUCGAGCGAAGCAAUUUAAGUGAAGUUUUCGGAUGGAUCUUAGAUUGACUGAGCGGCGGACGGGUGAGUAACGCGUGGAUAACCUGCCUCACACAGGGGGGAUAACAGUUAGAAAUGACUGCUAAUACCGCAUAAGCGCACGGUACCGCAUGGUGCAGUGUGAAAAACUCCGGUGGUGUGAGAUGGAUCCGCGUCUGAUUAGGUAGUUGGUGAGGUAACGGCCCACCAAGCCGACGAUCAGUAGCCGACCUGAGAGGGUGAUCGGCCACAUUGGGACUGAGACACGGGCCCAAAACUCCUAACGGGAGGCAGCAGUGGGGAAUAUUGCGACAAUGGGCGAAAGCCUGAUGCAGCAACGCCGCGUGAGUGAAGAAGUAUACUCGGUAUGUAAAGCUCUAUCAGCA
rnacentral:rRNA from 1 species